rnacentral:rRNA from 1 species
GAUGAACGCUAGCGGCAGGCUUAAUACAUGCAAGUCGAGGGGGAUUAUCGAGGUAGCAAUACUUUGGUAUGAGACCGGCAAACGGGUGCGGAACACGUACGCAACCUUCCCAAAACUGGUGAAUAGCCCUCCGAAAGGAGGAUUAAUACACCGUAACAUAAUGAAGAGGCAUCUCUUUAUUAUUAUAGCUCCGGCGGUUUUGGAUGGGCGUGCGCCUGAUUAGGUAGUUGGCGGGGUAACGGCCCACCAAGCCUACGAUCAGUAACUGGUGUGAGAGGAAGGUCCCCCACAUUGGUACUGAGACACGGACCAAACUCCUACGGGAGGCAGCAGUGAGGAAUAUUGGUCAAUGGGCGAGAGCCUGAACCAGCCAAGUAGCGUGAAGGAUGAAGGUCCUAUGGAUUGUAAACUUCUUUUAUAGUAGAAUAAAGUUAGCCACGUGUGGUUAUUUGUAUGUAUACUAUGAAUAAGGAUCGGCUAACUCCGUGCCAGCCGCCGCAGUAAUAC